rnacentral:lncRNA from 1 species
GGUGGGGAGGCGAGGCGGCCGCACCCAGCACUCCUCCGCGUCCUGGGAACCCCGGGGCCUGGCACGGCUGAGACACCGCAGAGGCGCCUUCGGAAGGAAUGAUGGAAUCCGUGGGGAGCGCGGGUUCUCGCUGGCCUCUCCGGAGAUUUCCAGCUUUCUGUGAUGGUCUUUUCCUCUCGUUUGUGUCUCAGGCUCUUUAUUUUCCCCCUCUCCUGUCUCCCGGCUCCCCUACCUCCCGACUUUUCCUCCUCUGAUUUCUUCCCCCUCCUCCUUUUCCCCACCCUCAGUCUGGGAAAAGUGGAAGCGCCGCCGAGGGGGGGACCAGGACCCGACCAGGCCGUAUCUCUAAGGGGGCGGGGGUGCGGAGCUGGGCAGAGGUACAGAAGGAGAUUUUCGUUCCAUAUGGAAGGAGACAACGACGGGAUUUUGUUGGAACAAGGUUCCCACAGGGAUGCGGGUUCAGUUGGGUAAACGUUGCCUGGGCCUGUGCUCUGCGGUGACAGAGCAAGUGCUGGGGGCUGAGACAAGACAGGAGCCCAGCAAGCUGAACCCGGCCCGAGGGCCUUGCGCUCCUAGCCUGGUAAUGAAUCCCACCCGUUCUGUCGCAGACCCCCACCGAGAGGCUGGCCAGGGGCCACGAACUUGUUUAACUGGGCAGGUAGAGAAGCUUGGAAUCUACCGACCGUCCUAGACUUGCAUCUACACUGGCCACCUCCUUUCAUUCGUGUGGCUCUGGGUAUACUUGUUCAUAUCUAAAUCAAUAGACCUUUUAUUACACCACCUUCCCUUGUGAGGCAUUCAAAUGCUGACAUUUCUACUCGGGAGGCUGAGACAGGAAGAUCUCUCGAGCCCAGGAGGUCGAGGCUGCAGUGAGCCGUGAUCAUACCGCUGCACUCCAGCCUGGGCGAUACAGGGAGAUCCCAUCUCUAAAACAAACAACAAAAAACGUUGACAUCCAGCUGUCUGUCAUUAACUCCACUUUACAGAUGAAGAAACAGCGGAGGAUCAGUAACUUGAGUCUGGUCACCGUCUUGGUUGGGCUGGGACAGCCCCGGGGUCCCAGCCUGGCCUAGCUUCCACUCCCAUUCCAUCCCUGUGAGGAUGCAGUCGCAGACUUCCCGGGGGAGGGGGAGGGGGUGCUGGAAUGCGCUGGGUGAUAGGAGUUCCGUUUUCGUCCUCCCUCACCUUUUCCUCUCCCAGCGCCCCUUUCUGUCAGCUUCCUCUCCAGUAAUUCCCUAAUUUUCUUCCUUUUCUUCCAUAGCUCUGCUUAUCUUUAUCCCUUGGCCAGUUUCCUCUAUUUUCACUCCUCUUAGGACCUAUUCUCUUGUCGUUUCCUCUGCAGCAAGUUAAGAGAAGAAUUUGUCACCCUCAGGGGGUCUCUAAGCCUGCCUCUGUGUACUGGAUUCAGUAUCAGUGCCCCCACCCCCACCCCAAUCUUCUCCUGUGCCAUCUCCCCUGCCCUGUUCCUCCCAGACUCUCAUACUGCUCCCUCUACCACCAUCCCCCACAACUGAUCGUAUACACAAAUACUUCCCCUCUUCACCACUGGACAGCUGCCCAUCUUAACCAAAACCCGUUCCCCCCACCACCUUCUGCUCCCUGCCCUUCGUUUCCUCCCACCCAAGCUGCUGAGCUCUGCCAGAGACUGGAGGCUCUUCACGCUGGAGUCCACUACAUCCCACCCAUCUUCAGGCUGCUUACCUUUCACUUUGCCCCUGUCCAGCCUCCCACCAGUUUCCUGGAGGUCCCAUCUCCUGCAACCCGGAGCCUCACUUUUUGGAGAAUAGCCCGAUGCCUCCCAGGCUGAUACAGCCUAGCCUACCUGUUCUGGCUCUGGCCCCACAUUAACGUUUUCCCUCCCUCUCUCUAUUUCUGGAAUAACCUGGCCCCAAAUCCAGACUCUCCUAUUUAUUAGUGGUGAGCCCUGGGCCAAUUAUUUUGCCUCAGCUUGCGUAUCUGUGAAAUUGCAAGCGUUAUACGGGACCUCUGUGAGGAGUAAAUGAGAUAACAUAUGUGGUGCACUGGAUCAAUGUCAGACUCCAAAGAGCACUCAGUACAAGUUAUUGUCUCUGCCUUUGUCCAUGCGGAGAACUUGGGAAUCACCUCAAAGCAUCACUCUCUCAUCCUCCACCCCAUUCUUUCAUAGCAUUCACCUGCGAUGGGGGUUGUGUGUGUCUCCAUCUGUCUCCCUCACAAGGCCAUGACUCCCUGCUCCCUCUAGCUGGGAAGCUGCUAUGUACAUCUCGCCACCAGCACAAGCCAGGCAAUGUUUCUCCAACAGAGAUCUUGUGAGAAUUUGGACCAGCCACACCCCCAGCCAUCUCUCUUUCACCUUUCACCUCCUUCUUUCCUAUUCAGCCUGACUUCAUCUUUAUGUCUCCUUGCCUUACAAAGAGUUUUCUGUCCUCAUGUUUCUCUCAGUCUUUUGACUUGUCUUUUUCACCACAAAAUUUCUUGAAUGAUUUUUAGUCUCUCUCCAAUUCUCUCACUUGCCCUCUAUCCAAGCCUUUGCAACCAGACUUGGAUGCCCAUCAUAUUAGGAAAAUGGCUUUUGCAAAAGCUCCAAACAUUUCAUUAUGGUAUGAGGACAAGGGCAAGCAACACGUGCUUGUGGAGAGCACAAUAAGUUCAACCUCAUGGAGUUAUUGAGACCUAAUGAGUUAUAAUCUCCACCUGAUGAACUUGGAGCAGUGCCUGGAACAUAGUAGGCUUUUGAUAAAUAUUAACUGCUAUUAUUUCAUAGAGCCGUGCUAGGAGCCAAAUGCGGUAAUGUGGUGCUUGAGAAGUGGAUGGCCCAAACAGAGAUGUUCUGUAAAUGUGAAUAUCCACUGCAUUUAGUGUUAAACAGGCUUAGUGCUAAAACAUUUAAAAUAUUAAUAUUUUUAUAUCGAUUACACAUAGUAAUGGAUAUAUUGAGUAAAAUGAAAUAUCUUAAGAAGAUUAUUUUAUCUAUUUCUUUCUACUUUUUAAAUGUGGCCACUAGAACAUUUAAAAUUAUGUGUCUCACAUUAUAUGUCUAUUGGACAGAGUUAUAAAAAAUACAGAUAAUCCAAAAGGGGGGAGUGAAGGGAAAACAGAGAUCUUAUAAUUGUCAAAUCCUACUACCCAGAAACAAACAUCGUGAAAUUCUUACAGUAUAUCCUUCCAGUUCUUUCUAUAUGUGCCUCCCUUUAAAAAAAGGAUCAUACUGUACAUAGUAUUGUAACUUCUUUAUCUUUAUAACCAAUCAAAGCAUCUUUGCCUCUCAUUAAAUAUUUUUUAUUGUUGGACAUUAAUACAGUUUACAGAUUUUCACUGUUUUAACAAAAUUUCGACAAACAGCUCCAUAGCUGUAUCUUACCGCAUGUUUGUGUUUCUUUUCUACAUAUUUCUAGCUGUGUAAUUUCCAGAUAUGCAAUAUUUUAAUUCUUUUGAUCCAUUGUCACUAGUUUGGCCUCUGGAAGUGUUCUAUAUAGUUAUUCUUCCAAAGGCUGACUUUAAGAAUCUCUCUCCAUCCUCUGAAAUGUUCAUUAGGACACCUUAUUUCCAAAUUUGAGUCUUUUUUAGUCACAAUUGUUUAUAGGCUCCUCAGCAUCUGAGUACCUUCAACCCCCUUUUCUUUUGGAAACUCCCUUCCCUUUAUUUUCUGAACAAGAUACUUGCCUGGAUCUGCAAACUCUGGGAGUUGUUCCUUCAUGGGCUCUACUUUCUUCUCCUAACUGUGGGCAUCCAUGAAGGCAUCUUUAUCCUUAGCCCUUCCCUCAUUCCAUGUAUCAUGCUAUUUAUUCUAUCUAUCUAUCUAUCUAUCUAUCUAUCUAUCUAUCUAUCUAUCUAUCUAUCUAUGUAUCUACCAACCAUCUAUCAUUAUCAAUUUCCACACUUUCAACCAAUACUGUAAUGCAGACCCCGGCAGGUUUGUAAUGCCAGCCCUAUAUUUUUCUCCAGAUCAAGUCACUGAUUUUCAAAUGCUUGUGAGAAUUUUUCUGGAGGGGUUCCUACAGGCCCCCUAGACACUCACCAUACCCCCAAACGGAGCUCAACAUCAUCCCCACCAAAUCUGUGCCUCUCUCUGGCUUCUCUCUUCUGAUAAUAGCUGCCCCUUUCUGCAGGACACCCAGGCUUAGCAGCUAAGAGGCACCUGUGAUACCUCCUUUCUCUCGGUCACUGCUGUGCACAUCCAGUCAGUCUUUGCAUUCUUUCAUUUCUUUCUGUUCUCCUUGCCUCUAAUUUGGGUUCUUAUUACCUUUUCCCAGUGAUUCUCUUAUGAUAGCCAUUUGUGAUCUCUCCUUUCUACAAUUCGUCUUACACGUGGCUGGCUACCAGAUUUCUACAACACAACUCUAACCUGUUAAAAUUUUUUCACACAACUCUGGACCCAGGGUGUUUUUGUUUUUUUUUUUUUACCUCUCUGUGACUCAGUUUUUCAUCAGCAAUCUGGAAAUAAUAAGACCUGCUGUGGAGAGUUAAGAGAAUUAGAAUGAGGUGAUUCAUGCAUAGCUCUUAGCACAUAGUAAGCACUCAGUAAACAUUAACUAUUAGUGUCAGUGUUCCAAUAAAGUUCAAACUCCUAAGCUUGGCAUUCGAGGCUCUUCAUGAGCAAGUUGUACCUGUCUAGCCUCAUGUGUUCUGCUCACCUUUGGGUAGCCUGCCCUGUGACAAUACUGCCACCAGCCAGAGCAUUCAUCCAGGGACUCUGUGCUCCCUGUGCCUCUCUGUGCAUGUCCUGUACAUUUGCUUUGCUCAAAAACAUUACUCCAAGCCAGGUACAAUGGCUCACACCUAUAAUCUCAGCACUUUGGGAGGCUGUGGCAGAAAGACUGCUUGAGGCCAGGAGUUCGAGACCAGCCUGGGCAACAUAGCGAGACCCUGUCUCUACAAAAAAUUAAAAAUAUUAGCCAGGUGUGGUGGUGCAUGCCUGUAGUCCCAGCUACUCUGGAAGCUGAGGUGGGAGAAUCACUUGAGCCUAAAAGUUCAAGCCUGCAGUCAGCCAUGAUCAAAUCACUAUACUCCAGCCUAGGUUAACAGAGUGAGACCCUGUCUCAAAAAAAAAAAAAAUUACUCCAGAGCAUGUAUCAGUCCAACUUCUGAGAGGAGGAAAAUUUUCAGUAGUGCACAUAGUCAACUAUUUAGAAUGCCAACUUCAUGAGAACGUCUAUUUUGUUCACUGCUGUGUUUCCAACACAACACGGUUGUCUGGCAUAUAAUAAAUGUUCAUUAAAGAUUUGUUGACUGAAUAUAAAAAUGUGAGAAACAUGACUCAAGGUUCCAUUUGUU